CGAACGAUGAACCCCUUCGGGGGGGAUUAGUGGCGAACGGGUGAGUAACACGUGAGUAACCUGCCCUUGACUCUGGGAUAAGCCUGGGAAACCGGGUCUAAUACCGGAUACGACCUGUCACCGCAUGGUGUGCGGGUGGAAAGAUUUAUCGGUUUUGGAUGGACUCGCGGCCUAUCAGCUGGUUGGUGGGGUAAUGGCCCACCAAGGCGACGACGGGUAGCCGGCCUGAGAGGGUGACCGGCCACACUGGGACUGAGACACGGCCCAGACUCCUACGGGAGGCAGCAGUGGGGAAUAUUGCACAAUGGGCGCAAGCCUGAUGCAGCGACGCCGCGUGAGGGAUGACGGCCUUCGGGUUGUAAACCUCUUUCAGCAGGGAAGAAGCGCAAGUGACGGUACCUGCAGAAGAAGCGCCGGCUAACUACGUGCCAGCAGCCGCGGUAAUACGUAGGGCGCAAGCGUUAUCCGGAAUUAUUGGGCGUAAAGAGCUCGUAGGCGGUUUGUCGCGUCUGCUGUGAAAGCCCGGGGCUCAACCCCGGGUCUGCAGUGGGUACGGGCAGACUGGAGUGCAGUAGGGGAGACUGGAAUUCCUGGUGUAGCGGUGAAAUGCGCAGAUAUCAGGAGGAACACCGAUGGCGAAGGCAGGUCUCUGGGCUGUAACUGACGCUGAGGAGCGAAAGCAUGGGGAGCGAACAGGAUUAGAUACCCUGGUAGUCCAUGCCGUAAACGUUGGGCACUAGGUGUGGGGGACAUUCCACGUUUUCCGCGCCGUAGCUAACGCAUUAAGUGCCCCGCCUGGGGAGUAC
rnacentral:rRNA from 1 species